rnacentral:rRNA from 1 species
GGCCUGCCCACUGAGUUAUUAAAGGGCCGCGGUAUUUGGACCGUGCUAAGGUAGCAUAAUCAAUAGUCUUUUAAUUGGAGUCUAGAAUGAAAGGUCGGAUGGAGUAUAAUUUGUCUGCGAGUAUAAAAGUUGAACUUUACUUUUAAGUGAGAAGGCUUAAAUUAGUUAGUGGGACGAUAAGACCCUGUGAAGCUUUAUAUUUGUUUAACUUUAAUUUUUAAUAUUUGUGUGUUUAAAUUUAAAAUUAACAGAUAUUGUGUUGGGGCGACCAGAAUAUAUUUUUAACUGUUCUUGUUUGGCAAAUAAAUGAUUUUUAGAGAGUUGAUCCUUUAUUAAGGAUUAUAAGAUUUAAGUUACUCCAGGGAUAACAGCGUAAUUCUUUUUGAGAGUUCUUAUCGACAAAAGUAUUUGCGACCUCGAUGUUGAAUUAAGGUUUCAUUAAGAUGCAGGUGUCUUAA